CGUCGAGAUUAAAGUCGACAUGACAUUUCAACUUUAUCCUUGACAUUUCGAGUUUAAUGUCGACAUGUUGACUUUAAAGUCGACGUGUCGAUUUUAAUCUCGUCACGGCGAAAAAAAUAAAAAAUCUUCACGUGUGGCCCUAAUACUCCGUCGUAGUAACUACAUUGUAAAAAGUAUCAAUAGUAUAUUUUUGUGUGCACUAUUGCACCUGCAUUAUUUCUUAUGCUCGGUGUCUUCUUCUCAAAAUGUUACAGACAGGCGAAGUUAAGCUAGCAGUUUGAAUCACUUACCUGGAAAAUGCGGGCGAUCCUGUCAACACGCAUAUCAUCCAUUUUAAGAGUAAUUCUCUUGUUCCCUCUGAGCAGCACAAACGUCUCCAUUUUAUCCGACGAUUAGGCUUAUUCUGUUUGUUAAGUUAUUAGUUAGUUUUAUUCAAUCAAUCCUGCACGGCCGGGAUAUCUGAAGGGGAAGAGGACGGUGGAGGUCGCUCAAAGCGCAAACCUUUUGGCGGAUUGCUUCUGCGCAUGAUAGAAUGUGAAAAAACCCGCCAAAGCAAAAGAAGACGGUAGACGGUUAGAUGAAAUGGAGUCCAGUUUGUCACCCUACCGUGAAAUAAUUGAAAGUAUGCUCCGAAACGGCCAUUCUGAUGAAGAAAUUUCCAGUCAUCUCCACCUGGAAUGUGGAUUGACCAAAGGCUUUUCCAAAGCAAACAUUCGUAAAUUUUCUGCGCAAAACGGUAUAGGAAGAGAACGGUUGCAGGACUCCAAACUGGAGAGCGAGAUUGCUCAAGCAAUUAAUGAGGUAAGCAACAGCAUUUUGAUUAAUUUGUAUGAUUGCUAACCGCAGUGUACUUGCAGGUAGUGACCAGUGGCGUUUGUAGCCUACAUGUAAAAAAAAUGGUGUGCACCAACAUUUAGGAAAAAACAACAGUGCUUUCUCUUGUAACCGAUGUGUUCCUCACAGAUCCAUGCACUGUAGCAAUCACACAAGCCUAAAUGAAGAAUGCAUUAUUCCACGUCAUAAGCUGACAAAACUUGCAAUAACCUUUGUAUAGGAUCUUUCCAAAAUAAGAUGGUGUGUGUAAUAAUUGGUUUGUAAUAGAAAAAAGGAUUGCAUAUUCGUCUUCAAUUUCAGACUGGACCAUCAUAUGGAAGAAGAAUGAUGACUGGCUACCUGUCCUCCAAAGGAAUCAGAGCAUCAGAGGGGUGCGUCGGUAGUGUCCUCAGACAUAUUAACAGGCCAUAUCAUGCAGAUCGUCAUCAGAGAUCAAGGAACUCAAAUCCAGUGCCAUACAGUGCCGAGUGCAUGGGUCACAAACUGCACUUAGAUCAAAAUGGUGAUGUUCGGGGUGACCCAUGUCCUUGCUGUUGACGGUUUCUCCAGUAAAAUUUUCAGCCAUUCCCCUAUGCCUGUCAAAAAUAACCUGACAAUAUAUCAAGAGGUGUACAGGUAACUUUCUGUGCUCUAUGUUCCAUGAUGUAGUUGCAAACAGUAGAUAUUGUUUUACUGUUUCAUUGAUUAAAGCCCCAACAAUAACUUUCAUGUGUGCACACAAGUGCCGCUGCUGCGCUCUGUAAAAAUAUUUUUCAUGUUAAAUGUUGGACUGCAUUCAAUGCAGCAGCUUCUCACAGGACUGUGCGAAAGUUUGGACUUGUUUAUUUAUGCUUUAGAACAUGAAAUCAUUAUAAAAUACUUAUAACAUUGUAUCUCUCUGACUCUGAUUCCACACACAUCUGUGUUCAGUUAAAUCUGCUGCAUUACCAUUAUAGCACCCUUUCAGAGACAUUACCAGUUCUGCUCUCUCCAUAUAGAAAUGACCAAUCUUUUCACAGAUGCUCUCGUUUGCUGGUGCAGGUCAUAUAGAAGCAUCAGUAUUAAACAGAAACUGGUUCAUAACCAGUUAAAGUUCCUCUGGGUUGCUUUAAGUGAAACACAUUGGCUUAUCAUAGCUCUGGUUUUACCCCUCCUUAUCUGGGAAGAAACAAACUGAUAUUUAAAAAAAAAAAAAAGGAAAUUAUUAACCAAGAGUGAAAAUUGGCUUCAACAAUGCCUAUGCAAACACAAAUAUGAAUUAGUGUUGACAACUGUAACACUUGUGUAUUGCUGUUUUGCAGAGGUGCUGUCCUACAGCACGGAAUGUGGGACCAAAUACGAGUAGACCACGGAAGAGUUUUUCUUGACUCUUUUCAUGCAGGAGAAAUUGGCAGGCUACAGAAAUAACACAGCAAGGGAGCCGUACCUGCAAACAUCAUCAACACAUGUCAGUUGGCUUAUUGUCCUCUUUCCCUUAAUCACUCAGCUGCUAGCUGAUAAUAUUGAUUUCUCUGUCAGCACAAUGGUAUGGUCAGAGCCCAGUAAGAAUAGUAUCGUUGCUGCAGCUGAUAGGGAUCUAAGUAAAUUUGAGUAAACUGUUCUUCUCUGAAAGACUGCUUGCUAUUUCCUCACCAGUCAAAGAUAUGCAUUAUUUGUCUAGCUGAUGCCACAAUAGAUGUACAAAUACAAAGCCAUAUUUCAGGAAGAUAAUUUCUCAUUUGUAAUGGUUAAUGGUUAUUAGGGGCCAGGCAGCAUGAGCAAUAGGGUCCCAGCCUUAUUGUUAUCUACAGUUUUCUUCUUCUUCUUCUUCUUCUGACUUGCACUACAAUGUAUAGAAAUCUGUGAGAGGAGGUCGAGGUAUAAUAAUAAAAUAUAAUUCAAUAAAAUUGCCUUGCCUGCCUUCUUCUGCUUCUGUGGAAAUCCUACUUCCCAUGCAUGAAAAAUCACCUAACUAAUUGGGUUCUUGAUUAUUGUUGUCAUAGAAAAAUGAUUUGAUGAUUACGAUAAGCUGCAGAUGGUAAUUGUCAUUAUUGAAAUUAAAUGUAACAUUUUGUUUUUACUCUUUUGAAAUUACAGAAUCAUAUUGUUGAAAGGAUGUGGCCAGAUGUUAAUAACAGGGUAAACUACCCUCUGAAAAGGGCUCUCAUCCACCUUGUAGACCAGGAGGAACUCAACAUGGAGGACAACUUGACACGGUAUUGUGUGUCCACGCUUACCUGUCAGGUGGCUCAGAUUGGACUUGACCGGAUGGUGCAGUCCUGGAAUGCACACAGGAUCCAAGGCAAGGGCAUCCCAGAUCAACUGACUCUGGGUGGAUGCCCAAAGAAAGCGCCAGCAGAUUGUCUGCCAGAGGCUGCAGGAGCACUUACCUGCAGGAAGUGGGGUCCUCUUUGACACAAGUGUCAAUGUUUGGGAGAAACCCAUUCUCCACAGCUGAAAACCAGACAGUAGCUGAACAUGAAUUUGCACAGCAGUACAGCGACGUAUCGGAAUUCUAUAACCACACCGUCAACUAUGAACCAACCCAUUUCCAAAAUGGAAUUAGGGAUCUUAUUGACAUUGUGAGAAGACAUAGCCUGAUCUGUCGGAUCGCAGAAGCUAUGCAGGGACUGGCCUGGAGCUUCCUGUAUGUUAGUUGAGUUUUUUUUUGUUGAUGUUCUUAUGAUGUUCUAAUGUUGCGUUGUUAAUGUGUUAGACGGCUUAGAUGUUCUUAGAUUUUUUGUUAACCUGAUUCGUCUCUCACUCUGUUCAAAUAAAAGUGUCAAAAAAAAAACACAUCAAAUUUGUAUAUACCCCAUACCGUUUGACUAUAAGACUUCUAUAAGAAUCUCUGAGGGGAAAAACGGUCUGUCUAGUUACUGGACCAGAUGAAAUGAGACGGAGAGGUAAUAAAGUCUGUCGGCACGAGGACCUUGGAUUUAUUAAGUAAAGUGGCAACGGUUAUACAGAGUCAUAAAGCGUGAGAGAUCGAAUAUGUCUAAGUCCCUAAUCAGCGCUGAUGGUUCGUCCAGAGCUUCGCCUCCGUGGAAGGUCUGCUCCAGAAGAAGAUGAAGAGUCCCUGUGUGAUACAGUCUUAUGCUGUAUCCUCCUCUCGAUGAGGUGUGUGCGUUUGAGGUGUGCGUGGUUCUGUGUGUUUUUGCUUGACCUUGGCUCUCAGGCCCUGGUAUAUGCAUGUGUAUCUCUUGUGUUCCUCCUAACGGGGGAGUGCCCCUCGAAGUGUCUCCUGUGUGAUAAAAUUAAUGUGGCUCUCCCGUUCUUGAGGAUGACUGGUGAAUUGUGUCCACCAUUUGCCUGGUUGGGAAAUGGGGCCUUCAGCUCCGGCCUUGACCUGACUAUAUUAUCAUGUUUGUGUUAUGUGUUCGUUGGGUUAGAGCAAGAGUUGACUAUAUUGUAAUGUGCCUGCCAUGUGAUGUGCUCAUCAGGCUAGGGUAGGAUUUAGCUAUAUUUGUAAUGUACAUGUGAUGUACUCAGCAGGUUAUUUUUCCCAACAUCUCCUCUGUACAACAAUUCUAGUAGUCAGUCAAUGGUCAAACUAGUAGCAUGAAUAUGAAUUACAGUCCAAGCUGGUUAGGCGAGGCAAGGCAAUUUUAUUUGUAUAGCCCGUUUUUACAAACAGUUUGUCUCAAAGGGCUUUACAUAGCAUGAGCAUCAUAACAACAUCCUUUUCCCUUAAACCCUCUCAUCCACUGAGUAAACACUCCCAGGAAAACCCUUUUAACAGGGGAAAAAUUGCAGAGGGAUGGAGCUGUGGAGAAUCUGUGGAAACACAGAGAGACUGCGAGACGCCAAGGCCAAACUACAAGGUGCGAAAGAUGUGUGUGUGUGUGGGGGGGGGCUCUACUUAAAUUUAGUUAGAGUGUGUGCCUCUCUGACCCAUGGAGAGAGCUGGUUCCACAGUAAAGGAGCCCAGUAAGAUGUAUAUUAUUACAUUGCAGCAUUAUUUGUGUUUUGUCCUGGAAUGACAAUACAAGCAUGAAUGUGCAUUUCAGAGAGAGCUUGCUUUGUAUUCCAGCUGGCAAAUAUCUAUAGGCUACUAUAGAUCCAUUUCAAAACACGUUCCAAGUAGGCUAUAGGACAAAGCAUAAUACAUCCCCGAAUGAGUGAAGCUCUCCUGCUGACUUGUUAAAAUGACUGUCACAACUGCCAUGAGCAAAGAGCAAAACCAUUUGUUUGUAGUGUAGGCUACAGUAGCCUAUUCAAUAUUGAAUGAAGUGGGUUAUUGUACACUCUUUGUCACUGUACAGAGUAGAAAAUAUGAUUUGCUUGUACUGUACAGCACCUUAAAAUAACUCACUGUAGCCUAUAUUCAUACGCACACCCAGUCUCGCUUUCAAUAUGGCACACACUCGCAUUCUGUAAUCACCAUCAGUAAAUAAUAAUAUGAAAACAAUAUAAAAUAUCUUUCAACAAGAAAAAUAAUUUGUUCACUCUAAAUGGAUAAAGGUCAACAGAUGCGCAAUGUUCAGCUGUCAGAAAUGUGUUGUGAUCACUUGUAUUCCUCAUAGCUCUCAGGCUGUGAGAAAAUCAGCAGCCCGCGAUCGCAGCUCCUUUGAUGUGAACUCGCACAGAGCGCAAAGCUCAGAGCCGGACAAUGAUGCCGUAGUAAAGCCCUCAGGUCUACUCUGCAUGUAUUAACUGUGGCUAAACCAUAACUUCAUAAGUUCUCAAUUUCAAAUCAUUAUGAAUACUAUUAUUGUUAUUGAAGCCGUGUCAGUCUUGACUGACGGUUGUGUGGGCCUCUGUAUCUGCUAGUGUCUAUAAUACAGUAAUAUUUUUGUCGACAUUAUCAAACGGAAGAACUUAUAUUUUGAAGAGCAAAUGGCAACGAAGCACACUAGCCAGUAAGAGGACCCGCCCACCGGCGGAAACCAGAUAUUGAGUCGUAAAUUCGUUUUGUUAGGAAGAACCAAAAAACGAAUAAAAGAACUGAAACUCUGAUUUUCGUUUUUUUGGACAAAACGAAAAAACGGCUGGUUUUUGGUUUCUGCUUACGUGAAUUAUUCCCAGGAAACAGAGUAAUAAAACGUACCUUGCUCAUGAUCUUUGCCAUACAGCUACACAGCCUGCCACACCAUAGUACACAAAAUGGGGUUUCAAUAUUUCAGUUAACUUCUGUAAGUCCAGAUAUAGCCUGGUGUUUGUAGGCUACGGGAGGGAGUCAAUUUACUGUAACAGUGGAGUUAAAAAGUUAGCGUAAUAUUUUGCUCAUGGGCGGUGUCAUUUAAAUUCUGGCUCUUAAUAUUCCAUAAAAUAUUGAUUGGAAUUUACUCUGAAAAUGUCAGGCUGACCAAAGAGUAAUGAAGAGAAACCGAAUUUGCAUUUACUGAUAACUGUGAUGUCAAAUGCAUAUACUUGGCUUUACAGAGGUACAAAGUAAAGUUACUUAAAGGAUACAAGCCUUAGAAUUGUAAAUUUUCGCCCCUAUUCCACUUGUAUUGUUUACAGACAAUACUUAUGCAUACGAUAGGGAAUUCUUAGUAAGGGAAACAUGACCCAGGCCAUAAGGGUAGGCUACAUUUUUUUAUUAUAGAGAAAGGGAA